AUUGAACGCUGGCGGCAGGCCUAACACAUGCAAGUCGAGCGGAUGAAGGGAGCUUGCUCCUGGAUUCAGCGGCGGACGGGUGAGUAAUGCCUAGGAAUCUGCCUGGUAGUGGGGGAUAACGUCCGGAAACGGGCGCUAAUACCGCAUACGUCCUGAGGGAGAAAGUGGGGGAUCUUCGGACCUCACGCUAUCAGAUGAGCCUAGGUGGGAUUAGCUAGUUGGUGGGGUAAAGGCCUACCAAGGCGACGAUCCGUAACUGGUCUGAGAGGAUGAUCAGUCACACUGGAACUGAGACACGGUCCAGACUCCUACGGGAGGCAGCAGUGGGGAAUAUUGGACAAUGGGCGAAAGCCUGAUCCAGCCAUGCCGCGUGUGUGAAGAAGGUCUUCGGAUUGUAAAGCACUUUAAGUUGGGAGGAAGGGCGGUAAGUUAAUACCUUGCUGUUUUGACGUUACCAACAGAAUAAGCACCGGCUAACUUCGUG
rnacentral:rRNA from 1 species